GACGAACGCUGGCGGCGUGCUUAACACAUGCAAGUCGAGCGGAAAGGCCCUCUCGGGGGUACUCGAGCGGCGAACGGGUGAGUAACACGUGAGUAAUCUGCCCUUCACUUGGGGAUAACUACCGGAAACGGUGGCUAAUACCCGAUAUGACCAAUCACUGCAUGGUGUGUUGGUGGAAAGUUUUUUCGGUGGAGGAUGUGCUGGCGGCCUAUCAGCUUGUUGGUGGGGUAAUGGCCUACCAAGGCUUCGACGGGUAGCCGGCCUGAGAGGGUGACCGGCCACACUGGGACUGAGAAACGGCCCAGACUCCUACGGGAGGCAGCAGUGGGGAAUAUUGGACAAUGGGCGAAAGCCUGAUCCAGCAACGCCGCGUGAGGGAUGACGGCCUUCGGGUUGUAAACCUCUUUCAGCGGGGACGAAGCGCCGGUAAUGGUGGUGACGGUACCCGCAGAAGAAGCACCGGCCAACUACGUGCCAGCCGCCGCCGUAA
rnacentral:rRNA from 1 species